GAUGAACGCUGGCGGCGUGCCUAACACAUGCAAGUCGAACGGACUUACAUUGAAGCCUAGCGAUAUGUAAGUUAGUGGCGGACGGGUGAGUAACGCGUGGGUAACCUGCCUUGUACUGGGGGACAACAGUUGGAAACGACUGCUAAUACCGCAUAAGCGCACAGCUUCGCAUGAAGCAGCGUGAAAAACUCCGGUGGUACAAGAUGGACCCGCGUCUGAUUAGCUGGUUGGUGAGGUAACGGCCCACCAAGGCGACGAUCAGUAGCCGGCCUGAGAGGAGGGUCCCCCACAUUGGAACUGAGACACGGUCCAAACUCCUACGGGAGGCAGCAGUGAGGAAUAUUGGUCAAUGGACGAGAGUCUGAACCAGCCAAGUAGCGUGCAGGAUGACGGCCCUAUGGGUUGUAAACUGCUUUUAUAAGGGAAUAAAGUGGGAGUCGUGACUCUUUUUGCAUGUACCUUAUGAAUAAGGACCGGCUAAUUCCGUGCCAGCAGCCG
rnacentral:rRNA from 1 species